AUCGCUUCUCGGCCUUUUGGCUAAGAUCAUGUGUAGAACAUUAAAAACAUCUAGCAAUUUUGAUGUUACAAACAUAGUGUGUUUCAUUGGUGAUAUUUAUACAAGAAGGCAUAUCAGCCUUGGUUGGGCACUCACUUCCUGUUUUUUAGUGCUUACUGUUUUUCUUGUUUUAAUAUGACAUUU
rnacentral:sRNA from 1 species